CUCCCUUCAGUAUAGUUUACCAGCAGCGACACUGUCACCCAGCCCUUUUUACCAUUAUGGAUCAAUUCUGCUUUGUUCUGCUUUUUCCGCUGUGUUUGUGUCUUGGCCCUGGAGUGACUCAUGUAAAAACCAUAAGGAGAGGACCAGACGUCACUCCAAUAUGCUCAACGCUGAGUCCCAUCAUAUUUAUUAUUUGUAGCAUCAGAACAGGGGAGAAACAGUGUCGCCUGACAUAUAAUGAUCAAAGAGGCUUUGUGAACGACUGUGACUCCAGGCUCACACUUACGACAAAGAAUCAGACUGUGUUUCUCCACCUGACCAGUUUAACACCAGUGGAUAGUGGGAACUACAGCUGUGAGUGUGUACACUAUGGUGGGGUAUCUAAUCUCCAUCUCAGUAUCACUGUGGAAGACGCUGUUCAAGAUCAGCCAUAUCUGGAGUAUCUGUAGGUGACAUUCCUAUCUCUUUUGAUGGAGAUGACCCUGAUGACCCCUACACAAGCCUCCAGCAACCAAUGAGUGAUGUUUACCACACUAUCUCAAAUGCUAUCUGCCUGGAUAACCAGGAAGUAGAUGGAAGAGAGACUGAUCCAAGUUGUGAAAUCUAUGAAAACAUUUAACCAAACAUCCAGAGAGCAUGACUGUAUAAUGUAGGACGAAGACACCAGCAGUUAUACACGCAUACUGAUCCCAAAUGUUCUGAUUGGUCUAACUGCAGUUCUCAUUAUAACUGGAGUUAUCUUUGGGUCUAUCUGCAGAGGAAUAUGUCAUGGAUGCUGUUCAAGAUCAGCCACAUCUGGAUUACCUGAAACUCCCGGCUCUUUGGAUGGAGAUGACCCCUACACAAGCCUCCAGCAGCCAGCGAGUGAUCUCUACCAAACUAUCUCAGAUUCAGCAAACAGCACUGCCUGCCUGCAUAACUACGAAAUAGAUGGAGGAGAGACUGAUUCAAGUUGUGACAUCUAUGAAAACAUUUCAAGUAACGAAUCAACAUAACAUAAUCAACAGCAUCAGGACUGUGACUUGUGUUUGCACUUGCUAGGAACUUAUAUGCUGUGUCAUUACCAAAAUCUUUCUUCAAAAUACGAGCUCAGUAUUACAUGUGUUAUCUAUCACAUGGGGCAGGUAUUUUCCAAUAAUCUCAACACCUCCAAAUCUUUGAAGUUGUUGUUGGGUGUGGCUACUUUGUUCAGAAGUAUACUCUGUAUAAAAGUGCUGCAGUGGCUGGUAACACAGGAAAUACAAUAAAGUAUGUAAAAUAUAACCCUCUCCUGUAGGACUGUUUAAACACACACACACCUUGUUUUGACUUGAGGCCUUUCUGAUGGUCACGAUAAUAUCAAAAUGGCACCUUUAAAACUACGGACAGAAUCACUGUGGCGCUGCACUAUUAGAUUUAUAGUUAAACAUGGUGGUCCAACCUAUCUGAUGUUUCUGCUGAGAAUGACUCACCUUUGGUUAGGUGUGUUUCCUGGAGCUUCGCAUUGCUGUGCUGUCGGUCGUAGUAGCCGAUGUGUUUCAGACUGGAGGUUUGAAGACAUGUUUUUUGCAGUGGAAAGAGUUUUAGUCGGACUACCUGCAGUAACAGUGUUCUUGUCAUCUUUCCUCCUGACAAAAUCAAAGUGAUGGGAAUAUUUCCAGCCACUAAGGUUGCUGCUUUGUGACGUGCCUGCGCAGCGCAACUACAAAAAUGAGUCUGCAGAUAUGAUUGUUGUAUUUCAAGUCAGUAGUGGGGUGAUAACAAAAGUAAUGUUGUGAUGUGUUGUUCGGUUUUUCAGGUAACUGUAAUUAUUUGUUACUGGAAAAAGCACUAUCAAUGCUGAAGAGCACAUAGACGUUUUAGAGCAACAUACGCUCCCAUCCAGACAACAUAUCUUUCAAGGAAGGCCUUGCAUAUUUCAGCAAGACAAUGCUAAACCACAUCAUAACAGUAUGGCUGCGCAAUAGAAGGGUCUGGGUGCUGAACUGGCCCGUCUGCAGUCCAGACCUUUCACCAAUAGAAAACAUUUGGCACAUCAUAAAAUGAAAUAUCUGGCAAAGAAGACCCAGGAUCGUUGAGCAGCUAGAAUCCUACAUCAGACAAGAAUGGGACAACAUUCCUCACCCCAAACUCCAGCAACUGGUCUCCUCACUUCCCAGACAUUUACAGACUGCUCUACCUGGAAGUUACUGUCACAAACAUUGUGAUUUGGUCUAUAGAUCAUUUAAUUGCUUUUUUUCUUGCUCAGACAACAGCACUGGUUCCUGUUUACUUCCUGUCAGCUACCACAGACUAUAAACGAUAUAUCAUUUCCUUGCAUUACGCAGUCACACAGGAAAUACACUUGAACCAAUUUAGAAAAUUUGUGUCGUCAAGUUUGAAACGGUUGAAACAAAGAGAAGUGAUUAAUUAGGAUAAUUUCAAAAUAAAAUUCAGCCAUUGCAACUGUGAGCUGCAAUUGAAGAUUCAAGACCACAGUUAGUUUCUUCACUUGAACUGGGUUGACUGUCUGGCAUAAGAGGAUGAAGACUCCAGCAUCUUUCCAAAAAAGCAGGUUAUAGAAGCCUUGACUGGUGCUGCUAUAAUCAUUCUUCUAACUGCAGUUAUCUUUGGGUUGCUCUACAGAGGAAUACGUCAGGGAAGCCAGCCAGAGCCACCAAGCAGUCAUCACAACAUGGUAAUGUACAGAAAAAUAUAUUUUGUUUAUGCCGCUCAUUUGACUUUAAUCAUCGUUUGAAAUGCAUGUUUUUCAGCAGGAGCCAGAAGACAUUGAGCCGUACAGCACCUUCGUACAGCGAGAGGGUGGACUUUAUUCAGUGGUCGGACUGCAUGUGUGUGACACUGACACUAUUAAUUCAAACAUGGUUACCACACAGGACACACAUGCAGGGAAUUUUUUACAGAGCUCCAAUCAUACCGUCUAUGCCAAGUGAAAUGGAACCUGUUGUCCACAAGAUGGCAGUGUUUUGCUUUCUGUUGACAUGUAUUUCACUUCAUCGUAUUUCUUGUAUGUGAGUUGAAUGUCUAAAUUUGAGCGUGUUAAAGCACACAUUAUAUUAUACUGUAAUACUGAUCACAAUAAACAAAUUACAAAUAAAAUUUUUAAAUAA